rnacentral:rRNA from 1 species
AUUGAACGCUGGCGGCAGGCCUAACACAUGCAAGUCGAACGGUAACAGGAAGAUGCUUGCUUCUUUGCUGACGAGUGGCGGACGGGUGAGUAAUGUCUGGGAAACUGCCUGCUGGAGGGGGAUAACUACUGGAAACGGUAGCUACUACCGCAUAACGUCGCAAGCCCAAAGAGGGGGACCUUCGGGCCUCUUGCCAUCGGAUGUGCCCAGGUGGGAUUAGCUAGUAGGUGGGGUAACGGCUCACCUAGGCGACGAUCCCUAGCUGGUCUGAGAGGAUGACCAGCCACACUGGAACUGAGACACGGACCAGACUCCUACGGGAGGCAGCAGUGGGGAAUAUUGGACAAUGGGCGCAAGCCUGAUGCAGCCAUGCGGCGUGUAUGAAGAAGGCCUUCGGGUUGUAAAGUACUUUCAGCGGGGAGGAAGGGAGUAAAGUUAAUACCUAUGCUCAGUGACGGUACCGGCAGAAGAAGCACCGGCUAACUACGUG